GAUCAUGACUCAGGACGAACGCUGGCGGCGUGCUUAACACAUGCAAGUCGAACGAAAAGACGGGAAGAGCUUGCUCUUUUCAGAAUUGAGUGGCAAACGGGUGAGUAACACGUAAACAACCUGCCUUCAGGAUGGGGACAACAGACGGAAACGACUGCUAAUACCGAAUAAGUUCCAAGGGCCGCAUGGCCCAUGGAAGAAAAGGUGGCCUCUACCUGUAAGCUAUCGCCUGAAGAGGGGUUUGCGU
rnacentral:rRNA from 1 species